ACACUCCACCCCCUGAAGUUCAGGGCACCGUGACAACUAGAUGUCUCCUUCACAGGAAGAGUGCUACCAGACACACAUGCACAUUCACACACUCGCAAUAUCCCCCCAAGACUGAUUCAUUCCCUCUUCUUCCCUCACAUACUCUUUCACUGACACACAUAAAAACAUUCAUGCAAACAAUAUCCUAAGCUACCACUUCUUUUUUCACACAGUCACACACACAUUGCCGCACACACACAAUCUGUUCUCACACAUGCUGGUUCAUGACUGAUGCCAAAUCUGGACUGCUUCUGUUCAGACUCCACUGUGGCUGGCAUUUGAGAUGGAUGAAGCCUUGCAGUGUCUGUGAACAGAAGCGCACAAGAACUCCAGCACACCGGGGAACGAGUGAAAAGGCCUAACUGUCAAGAUUCCCCGUCUCUACUCUCCAAACAGUCACUCAAACCGUUCAUUGCUCCAAACCAGAAUGUAGUAAAAACUUCCGUGAAGCGUCUUCCGCCCCUCGGGAAUAAAUUGUGUUUACAGGAGACGGCCUUUUAGAUUGACACGAGCCGCGGUAUUAGACUGGACAGACUGUUUUUACAACCAAAGGGUCAGCGGCUACUAUCAACAAGACGAAACAAAGUCCACACUGCCCGAGAGGCUGAGCGGCAUGAUGUAAAAGGACUUCACUACACACCAGCACGUGAGCGAAUUGUUGUGCAACGUGCGCGAGUGCCUAUUUUUUACAGUCUCUGGCGAGUAGGCCGAGGAGCGUGAAGAGGGGGCGGGAAAUGUGACAGAAAAAGUUUUCUGCCGCAGUCAACAUACAUACUCUAUCAGACCGAUGAACCUGACUUCCACAUGAGUAAAGGAUCUUCACUCGCUGCAGGGUUUCGGCCCGAUUAAACUGCUUCGGUCACAACCACCACAGUCAUGUAUAUGUAACUAGACUACUGGAGCUGACAGACACACCCUGUACACACAUUCGAGCUGAUACGGUCAUCAGUUUCGAUCCUGUUCAGGCUGGUUGAGGAGCAUUCUCUAUAGCUGCAUCGCAAGACAGAGCCAGAAAAAAAACUGGAAUUGUGAUCAUUUUUAUUUAUAAUGUAUUACUUUUAAUGAUUGAUUUACUUGAAAAAAGACUC